UACGGAGGGAGCUAGCGUUGUUCGGAAUUACUGGGCGUAAAACGCGCGUAGGCGGCUUUGUAAGUUAGAGGUGAAAGCCCGGGGCUCAACUCCGGAAUUGCCUUUAAAACUGCAUCGCUAGAAUUGUGGAGAGGUAAGUGGAAUUCCGAGUGUAGAGGUGAAAUUCGUAGAUAUUCGGAAGAACACCAGUGGCGAAGGCGACUUACUGGACACAUAUUGACGCUGAGGUGCGAAAGCGUGGGGAGCAAACAGG
rnacentral:rRNA from 1 species